ensembl:lncRNA Novel transcript
GCCACUGCAUUUGAGGAAUGGAAAAAUAAACCAAAAUCGUUCAUCGGGCCUGAGAAACCUUGAGAAGCAUAUUACCCUACGGUUGUUUUUUCAUCGAAAAGUUGAAGGAUUUCUGACAUCUCAAUUAGUAACGCAUCUGGAAUGUUUGCUCUCCAGGAAUAGAUGUACCCACCAAAAGCCUUGCUUGCAGCCACCUCCACGUCUCUCAACCUGCCUGAGUGCAGGGCUUAUGUUACAAGGAAUUCUCAAAGCUGUGUUAUCAAAGCUGUGAAAUCAAAGUCUCUACCCCUCUGAAGUUUACCCGGAUGGCCUGACUCAUCCCAGAAGUGGUGGAGUCUACGUCCCCUCUCCUGGAGACUGAGUGGAGCUUUGUGACUGCUGCAGCCAUUGGAGUAUGGCAGAAGUGCUGUUAUGUCACUUAUGAGAUUGGAUCAUAAAAAUGCCACACACUUCCUUCCUCUCUUGGAAUGCUGAGGCCAUGUUGUGAGGAAGUCCAAUGAGCCCCUGUGGAGAGACCAUAUAGAAUGACUACUUUGAGAUGUUCCAGCUUACAGCCCUGCUCGGCCCUAGCCAACAGCCAGCAUCUUUCACCAGACAUAUGAGUGACGACCCUCCAGAUGAUUCCAGCUUCCAGCCAGUGAAUCACAUCUAGCUUUCAAGUCUUCCCAGCCGAGGCCCCAAGCAUUGUGAAGCAGAGCUCAGAAUGACCUCAUGUCUUUCUACCUGAAGCCUGCUAUACCAUUUGUUGCACACAACUUCUACAAUCUCUAUGGACUUUAUACAAUGUACUUAAUAAUGAAAAGCACUGAAGAGAGAGGAAGAAACAGGGAAAAGGGAGACCAAGUCAUAUCAGGAUUUGAAUUUGAAAAUCAUCCAGGAAAUCAGAACAGUCACCUCCUUUUAUUGUCUUCAAUGUCACUGAUGAUUUUGAGGGAUCCAGGCCAGCUGUUUUGAAGAAUGUGCCAUAUUCAAAUUGUGACUAGAGUUGGGUUCCUGGGGAAUUUAACACAGACAUUUUGUACCAGAUGUGAUUGGAGGAAGCAGAUUCUAAAGUCACCCUUCUGCUGGGUUGCCCACUUGUUGGCUAGAAGUGAGAAUGACAUCACCCAUGCUGUACCAGAGCAACUGUUCCACUUUCAUCAGUGCUGAAAAGAGGUGAAAUAUAAGUGGAAUGAACCCAAUAGUGGGCAGAAUGUCUUAUCUUUGAGAAAUUUGGGGUAAAUAUUAAUAGUACUUAUAAGGACUAUGAAAGUUGCUGACUGUUGGUGAAGGUAAAUAUUGGAAAUGUUAAUGAAUGUCUGAGUGUUAUCACCAAUUUAGGGUGAAGUGUAAAGCCAGAUGACCUCCUAAACAGCACAAAUGGUCUUUCAUCUUUCUCAACACAGGAAGAAAAAGCUAAAUGUCAGGCCCAGGACUUAAGGGAAGUAGAGAUGUAUAGUGAGUUGAAUUCUCAAUCCCUGGAAGUCUUCUCUGUCAAGGUCAGGUCCAUUAUUGUGUGUCAACAAGGUCCUGAAACUUGGGAUGGAGGCAUUCAGGUACAUGCAUUGAAAAUUUUCAUUCUUCUUCUUCUCCUGAACCUUCUGGGGUUACACAACUAGCCCAUUCCUCUCUACCAAAGACUAAUGCUCCUCCCUUACCUGAAGAUGAUGCAUAGGCCUCUCCCUUGCAAGACAACAUUGAACACCCCAGGACUGACUGUCUUCUCCACUCUUGGCCAUUAGACCACUUACGUAGGACAAACUCACAAAAAAACUCUUGGUCUGGGACAUUAUAGGCAUGCAGGGGGUAGGAAAGAGACCUCAAUGAGACCUAACAUGAAGCAACAGUAAAGAAUACAUAUGAGUCUGAAUCUUAAGAAUACUGGAACAAAGUGAGAGGAGGGAGUUAGGUUAGGCAAUUAGACAGGGAGGGACUCAGCAGAAGAGCAACAGUAAUAGAAACGCCUGCAGAACAGCAGCAACACCACCUCUGCAGCUAGCGGGAAGAUCAACAGUCAUAGGAACACCCGUGGGACAGCACCCACACUGCCUCUGCAGCUAAAGGGAAGAAAUGUAGUUAAGAACUUCCCCUUAUGCCAGGAGGUCUGCUCAGAAGGGACUGUCCCAGCUUAGGUGCAGGCACAAUAAAUCAACCUAAAUACCCUUAACUUAACCCAGCUCAUUAUAAUGUCAUUAACAUGAUAUUAGCAUUGCAGUUUUAGCCUCCUCCACCAUGUGUGUUUCAGUUAGGCACUCAUGGGUAAUAACCAAGAUGGAGUUACCAUGACCAACUCCAGGCAUGCACAGAUACAACACCCCUAGGAGGUGUAUCUAUUGUAUCUCUGCCCUCUCCCAUUUAGGCAGAACCCACAGAAGACUUCCUUGUUCUUGCCACAUAAAACACCCAGAACUCAGCCCCAUUGCUUACAACCCACUUUCAGGGUCCCCUUUCACUGCUUGGAGCUUUCCUUUUGCUUAAUAAAUUCUGCUC